rnacentral:rRNA from 1 species
AACGAACGCUGGCGGCAUGCCUAACACAUGCAAGUCGAACGAUCCCUUCGGGGAUAGUGGCGCACGGGUGCGUAACGCGUGGGAAUCUGCCCUUGGCUUCGGAAUAACAGUUAGAAAUGACUGCUAAUACCGGAUGAUGUCUUCGGACCAAAGAUUUAUCGGCCAGGGAUGAGCCCGCGUAGGAUUAGGUAGUUGGUGAGGUAAAGGCUCACCAAGCCGACGAUCCUUAGCUGGUCUGAGAGGAUGAUCAGCCACACUGGGACUGAGACACGGCCCAGACUCCUACGGGAGGCAGCAGUGGGGAAUAUUGGACAAUGGGCGCAAGCCUGAUCCAGCAAUGCCGCGUGAGUGAUGAAGGCCUUCGGGUCGUAAAGCUCUUUUACCAGGGAUGAUAAUGACAGUACCUGGAGAAUAAGCUCCGGCUAACUCCGUGCCAGCCGCCGCCGUAAAAC